GCCGCGCUCAAUCGCCGCCAAGGACGGAGUCUCAAGGAUGUCGCCGCUCCGCCCCGGCUCUGCAGUGGCGCAGGGCCCGUUACCGGCGCUGUGUCCGCGCGGGGCGCGCCGCCCGGAGCGGUUGCGCUGCCGGGGCCGGGGGUGGCCGGGCGACACUGGACACUGGUCACUGGUCACUGGUGGCUUCGGCAGCAUCACCACCGCUCACUUCCACAGGAGACAGCGGGGCUCUUGGUGCCUAAGCGCCACAGAGCCACAGGCUCGGCCAGAAUCGCAACCCACGGAACACACAGACUGAAAAUCUGGGUGUACAAGCGGCCACUGCUGCUGAGCACAGAAGGAAGUGAUUUCUUGGAAUUCCUCCAGGACCAAGGCAAGCAAAAUACGGAAUAAUAGCAAACAGUGUUUUCAUCUAGUGCUGGAACAUUACAUCUUUCUAGCUGUAAAGGAAGAAAGUAGAAGCAAAACACUGAAUGGUAUGCAAUUAGUUCCACUGGGGGGAAAAUCCAGAAAGCUUUAGGUUCCUCAUCACACAUGAUUAAGUCUCUCUCACAAGAGGGAAAACAGAAUAGUGGGUUCCAGAGUCCUCCCAAGUAAGUCACUGGGUUAAAUGUGACUAGGCAGAGAGCCUAGCUCUGCUUGCCUAUGACUACCUUUUUUUUUUUUUUUUUCUUUUUUUAAUUCUGUUGUUGUGGCUAGUUUAAAGUUUUAUUGAUUUUUUUUCUUUUUGCCAGGUAUUUUGCCAGGUAUUUUGCCUGGUUUAGUAACAACUGGAUUCAUUCCCUGUGGCUCACCAAGUAGCCAAACAAAGGAUGGUGUGAGCAUGAGAGAGGUGGUGAGCAAAGGAUGCAACCUGCUUUUCUGGGCAGCAGAUCGGUACCAGACCCAUGCUGGCUUUAAAUCACUGUCUAACUGCAGCCUACUUCGCUUCUUUACAUUGUUUGAUGUUGCAAAGAGUCCCCUGGAGGGAAAGAAAUUAGUUAAGCCAUCCACAUGACACUUGAGGUAGCAGCUUGCUGUAAGAAAAUCAAUUCAAGACUUUGAAAUUACAGUUGCAAUGGGAGCUGGAGGUAAAUAAUUAUACAAUGAAAUGUAAGGGUAAGAAAAUCUAUAGUCACAACGGGAACAUGCACAGCUGAAAUUUAAGGAAAUAGGGAGGAAGGGAGAUGAAAAGGUUCUGGAGAGAUUAGGGAAGGACCAGAGCAAGGUUUUUUAAUUCCUGGACCAUAACCAAAGGUCCUUGUCCUGCCAGUGCCUGUUGUGAGGAACGUUCACCACUGCAUUGUGUCUUCUUUGGACAGGAUCCUUCUCUCUUCUUAUGAGCUUUUAUCACAGUAGCAUUUGGAAUUAGAGACGGAAAUGCCACGUUCAUAUUUGCAAGGUAAUAAAGCUUUAAAAGGCAGGCUGGACUAUUUACCACAGUUUACAACAGCUCUUCUGGGCCCUCAUUUAGAUCAGGCUUCAUUUUGCAUGCAGUGCUAAAAGAACAGGGUAUUUAGUCCCCUCCCUGAAGUCCUUUCAAUCUAAAUAGACAAGGCAGGAGCAAGAGGUGGGUGGAAGAAAGAAGCUUAUUCCCUCUUCCUGCUCUUAAUUAUUUACAUGCUUGUUCCAGACGAUGGAGGAUUGAGGCACAGAGAGGUGAAAAGAUCUCCCCAAGGUCACACGGGAAGUCUCCUGGUGACAGAUCACAAUUUCAAAGUUCAGCUCCAGUUUGGCAACUCUGGCAUUUUUGAUGCAGUGUGGUUUUCCAGAAAAACAAACCCUAAUAUUAAACAGUGUAAAUAAAUUUGCCUGCUAACCUUUAUACAA